UCCUGAUGGCUCACAUGAAGUUUCGUGCCGUUCCGACCUCGUUUGAUACGGUUAUGGUUAACCACACGGCCCCUCGGGCCCGACCCGAGCCCAGUCAACGUUUUGACCCGAUCAAAUCGGCCCGUGACCCGAAACGACCCUACUUGGGCCCUACAACAGCCACGUAAAGUUUCGGGAUGAUCCGACGUUCUUUCAUGGGGUUACGGACAAUCCACGCCAAACAAGCGUCACGGGCCGACCGAGCCGGGCCAACGGGCCCUCGGGACCCGAAAACUGAUUUUUUUUUCAUCCAAACCCAUUAAAACACGUUACCGAGGUCUCACGCAAAAUUUCAUGCCAAUCCGACGUCGUUUGAUGGGGUUUUGAGAUAUUAUGAUUCCUCAAAAAUUUAAUGUCUGUUCCUGUCACUUAGCUUUUUGUGCAAAAUGUAUAUAUAGGGGAGGGGUGGGUGUUGAGCAGCCCAUGCCCGGGCAAGGCAUGCCAGCGCCCAAGCCAAAGGAGGCUGGUGGCGUGCGUAUAACAGCUCAAAUGCCCCAACGAUGACCGAGAACAAGCGCCCAUCUCCCCUCCUUCCCCCCCACCAAGCGCCCCUCCCCCCCCGUGUUGCCUGCCCACUCGCACAGCUACUCGUGAUUUCAUGCCCAGCGACUAGUGAAUGUGCCUCGACGACCAGCAAACCUCGAAAAUUAUGAUUCCUCGUAAAAUUAAUGUCUGUUCCUGUCACUUUACUUUUUGUGCAAAAUGUAUAUAUAGGGGAGACCAGGGGCUUGAGCAACCCCUGUGCCCAAGCAAGGGUCAGAUGGAAGCACACGAGACGCGAGGUUUAAAGCCUAUACAAGCAAGGCGUCUGUCUCCCCAAGCCCCAUUGCCUAUAAAACAAGCCCGAUGCCUUGUAAAUGCCCCACACGAUGCCUAUAAACGACAACGAUGUUUGCUAGUUAAUCGAUCGACGCCCCACACCUUGCAGCAUGUUGCCUAGUAAACAAGCCAUGCUGCCUUGGAAGCGCCCCACAUCAUGGCAUGUUGCCUAGCACGCUGCCCUUGUUUCCAGCACGGCGACCUGAAAGCGUGGCCUGACGACGUGCUUGCCUUCGAAAAUUAUGAUUCCUCAAAAAAUUAAUGUCUGUUCCUGUCACUUUACUUUUUGU
rnacentral:rRNA from 1 species